CCACGGCUCAUGGCAAUGCUGGAUCCUUAACCCACUGAGCAAGGUUAGGGAUCGAACCUGCAUCCUCAUGAAAUACUAGUUGGGUUCGUUAACCACUGAGCCACAGUGGGAACUCCCACCAUGAGAUAUUUUUGUCACAGCCAGAUUGCUAAAUGAUUCAGUUCUUGCUGCUCAACUUCUUUACUUGUUUGCUGUGUAACACAUACUGGAGAAUGAACUCCAUUAAGUCCAGGGACAUAAUAUCCCCUUAUUAACCCUAUAAAGGCUGCAAGAUCAGAGUUCCUGAUGUGGUGCAGUGGGGUUAAGUCUUGAACCUGCAUCAGAGAUGCAGGUUCAAUCUCUGGCCUGGCACAAUGGGUUAACAGAUCCAGUGUUGCUGAAGCUGUGGUAUGGUAUAGGUCCUAGCUGUGGCUCAGAUUCAAUUCCUGGCCCUGAACUUCCAUUUGUUGUGGGUACCCCCCCCAAAAAAAGGCUGCAAGAUUGGUAGUUUUAUCCUCUAUUUAAUUUUUGAUGGUUGGAAUUUCUGUCUUCUCUACUUUUAGUCUUGUCUACUUUUUUUCAUUGACUUUUCCAAAGAAUCAGCUUUUUGUUUCAUUGAUUUUCUCUAUGAUAUUCCUAUUUUCAAUUUCAUUAAUUUCUCUCUAAUUUGUACUCUUUCCUCUUCCUUUCCCUGGGUUUGUUUUGAUCUUCUUUUUCUAUAUUCUCAGCAAAAACUUAGGCUGUUUAUAUGAGUCCUUUCCUUUUUUAAUGUAAGCAUUCGCUGCUCUAAAUUUACCUCUUAGUACUACGUAAGUUGCAUUCCAUAUAUUCUGAUACAUUUUGUUUUUAUUUUCAUUCCAUUCUAUGUAUUUUAAAAUUUCUUUUGAGCCUCCCUCUUUGACCAGGGAAUAUCUGGAAGUGUGUCUUUAAUUUUAAUAUGUUUAGAGCAUUUCCUGCUGGGUCUCUAGUCAUGGAGGUCUAAUUUCAUCCUACCAUGAUCAGAGAACACUUGUUGUUUGAUUUCAAUCUAAAUUUGAGGUUUACUUUAUAGUCCAGGAUGCAUUCUAGCUUGGUGUGUGCUCUAUGAGCUCUUGAAAAAAUUUGUAUUGUUGGAGUUCCCAUCGUGGUGCAGCGGAAACAAAUCUGACUAGGAACCAUGAGGUUGUGGGUUCCAUCCCUGGCCUCGCUCAGUGGUUUAAGAAUCUGGCAUUGCCCCGAACUAUAGUGUAGGUUGCAGAAAACAAUUGCUAGGGUACUGCACUGCCCCUAUGUGUACUGAUUCCCAGAAUAGGGGUUAGUCAGAUAAUUCAUUGCCUGAAAUUUUGCCAGGCUAUGAUUUCCUUAUUUGAAAUUCAGAAAUCUUAUAAUAUUGGUGAGUGCCCAGAAUGUGUUUAUGACUGAAAAGGAUGAGACGGGGAUGUUCUGUUACACAAAGAUAGUACUUUUGCUUUGUGUUAUCUACCAAUUAGUACUGUUACGAAGUAGACAUUUCUUGUUACAUUGAUCAUAUGCUUUGUUUGGAAAAAUGAUGUCCCAGUGCAAGAUAAAACAUUUAUUCCUUAGACUAGUGUGCAAAGGCUUUUGUAAUCUAAACUCAGUGGAUCUCUCCAGACCCUCUACUCCCUCAUGCACAUCCUACCUUGAAAAACUAUUUGCAGGAAGUUCCCAUGUGGUAUAGCAGGUUAAAGGUCUAGCCAUGGCACAGGCUGCAACUGCAACAUGGGUUUGAUUCCUGGCCCAGGAAUUUCCACAUGCUGCAGAUGUGGCCAAAAAAACCGACACACAAAACAAAACAAAACUAUUUGCAUUUCUAACGCUCUUCUUCAGUCUGAAUCUUUUUUACAUCCUAUCCCAUUUCUCUGAAAUAUCCAACCACAUGUCAUUAUUCAGUCUCCAAAAAGAUCUGUCUAGCUUUGUAUUUAUUUUGUGUUAUUUUUUCAUUAACCAGCACAGGACUGUCAAAAUUUAGAAUGUUCUUAGUUAAGUUUCUUUCUUGGAUGACUUUUAGAAUCUGAAUCAUUAAUUUAAUCCACACUGGCAUAUUAUACAAUGAUAUGGGGUCAUCUUUAGGCAAUGGCAGCAGCAGCUCCCAACCAUGGGUAUGCUAUCCAUUGGUCUUCAUUCUAACAUAUGAGCCAAAAGGACAAAUUUAGGUCUAACGGUUCAUAGGAAGUCAUAACAUUGCAUACUUUUUAUGGCAGGCUGGAGAGAUGCUCAUCAAACUCAUUACUUCUCUUUGAGCACACAAUUAACUGUUACACUGCAUUCCCUAGCCUCGGAGAACAUAGAUGGGGCCAUAUGAAUAGUUCUAACCAAGGGGGUUUGAGCAGGAGUGACAUGUAUCAUGUCUAGAUUGAGGCAGAUAAAAGUAAUUGUACCUCCUCCAUAUCUCAUAUCCUCCCUCUUCAACUCUACCCUCACCACCUUCCAGAUUACUGGUAAGAGGCCAACCUUUAAACUAUGCAGUGAAGAUGGUAAAGAUUCCACACAAAACACACUGGAGUGGAUUGGAUCCCCCAUCCCCUACGCUGAAAUACACAGAGGUUGUUAUUUUCUGCUGUUAGCAGACUCUGACUAAUACAUGUUUCAUUAUUUAGCCAAGUACCCUCAUGAUUACUAUCUCUCUGGCACAGAAACUAUGAUUUUGAAGAAUGAUGAAUAUCCAGCAAUUUUUCUCAUACUUUUUAUAAACUCAUAUAGCCAUAAAUAUUUAUUAAGUCUUAACUCUAUGGGAUUACCAAACUCCAAGUAGGGGAAAAGUAUUCCCUAAGGAAUUCUUGACUUAUACAUAAUAGGGAUAAUGCCAUAGCAAUCUGUGUGUGCUCAUUCAUUUUACCCAGGCUUCUCUGAAGGUGCCAAAACUUGCCUGGGAACCCAUGCCACACGGCAUUCUGGGUCUCUUAGGGAAGUCUUGUGCACUAGAUCCUAUUUCUUUCUGCCGACCCAAGGAUACUCUUCCAGAAAUUCUCUCCUUCCUCUUCUGCAUCAUCAGUGUUUUUGCUCUCUGAUGGUUCUUCCUAUCACCACGCCAACAUGCUAUUGUUUUUCUCAUGUUACAUAGAAAUUCUCUGAACACCACAUCUGCCUAGUUUAUAUUUUCAUUUCUCAGCUCCUUUUUGAAAGAGAACUUUUCAGAGAGUUGCUCAUAUUUGUUUCCCUUCCUUUUUCCUGUUCUUAUUUUCUCUUAAGCCCCCAGAAGACUUUUGAGAACCCCACUGAGCUACCCUUGUCAAGGUCACCAAAGAAUAUCCACAUUACAUUCAGUUGCCAGCUCUCUUUUGUGCUCCCAAUUGGUACUUUCUUCCUGUGGUUUGAGGAAGUCUCUUUAGCUUUUCCUCCAAGUCACUGGCUACUCCUUCUCAGUCUUUGUCUUAGUGGUUUCCCUUUGUGGUCCAUGAGGCCUUGAUUGCAGAGUGCCAUAAUUUUAGUUCUUGAUUUUCUUUUUUUCUCACCUAUUUAUACUCAUUUUAUACUCACAUAUAUGUUGUCCUCAUCUAGUCUUGUGUCUUUGAAAACCCUUCAAGGCUGAUAGUUCCCAAACUGGUGUCACUAGCUCAGAAUUUUUUCUCAAAUCACAGAUUCAUCACUCCAUCUCUCUAUGAAUAUCUCCACUUGGGUGAACAGUAAAUAAUAAGAUGUCUCAAACACACACUGUCCACCUGAUAAAACCUUAGGUUUCUUUCUGCUCUUUCUAUGGAGAAUCUUUCUCAUCUCAUUGGAAGAUAACCCUGCAUUUCCAAGUUUGGGGAGAAAGACCUUGGGGUUAUUCUUGAUCUUCUCUUUCAUGCACACUCCACCAUCACAUCUUCAGGAAAUCCCUUUGGCUCUGUUUUUAAGAUAGAUUCAGACUCUAAAGUCUUCUCACUGCCUCCACCAUUACUAUGCUUCCUUUCCUACCUGGCCUCCCUGUUUCUAUUCUUGUUUUUCUACUAUCUGUUCUCAACAAUAGACAGGUUGAUUCUCAUAAAAUGUGAGUUAAUGGUUUCCCUUCUCUCCUAGAAUUCUGCCCGUGGCUGCCUAUUUCAUAAGCGCUGAGGCCAAAGUCCUUACAAGAUCUUACAUUUUCAGGCCCCUGAUUACCUAUUUGGUCUCAUUUCCUACUUAUCUCCCUCUUGUUCACUCAGUUCUAGUCAUUUUGCCUUCCUUGCUUUUCCUUGGACAUGCCAGGAAUUCUCCUAACCUGUGCACUGUCAUUUCCCUCUGAUAAGAACACUCUUCUCUUAAUUAUCAGACUCCUUCAAGUUUUAAUUCAAAUGGCAACUUUCCAAAGAGGCCUAUGCUGGGCACCCUAUUUAAGAUUGCUGCCAGUCUUUCCUCUGUUCCAGCUCUCCCAACCCCUUACCUUGCUCCAUUUUUUUUUGCCUUGCACUUAUAAUCUUGUAAUACUCUCUAUAAUUUACCUAUUUAUUAUGCUUUUGUUUUUUGACAGCCCCCACUUCACCCCACUGCCACUAGAAUCUAACUUCCACAAGGGCAGAAAGUUUAGUCUGUUUUGUUCACUGAUGUAUUCAAGAACCUAAGAAAGUGCCUGGCACAAGAUACAUGCAUGAUACAUAUUUAUUAUGUGAGUAAAUAAAUGAAUCUUCCACUUGAGAAAGUCAAAAUCAUCAUCAAAGAUACUAGAAAUUCCCAUUUCUAAUCACUACAAAUUAGUGACUUUCAUCUUGUUUAUACGAAAAAACAAUCAUUUAUCAUCUAACAGAUCAUGGAAAGAUUCACAAAACAACAAAAUAUGUAGUCUGGCACUAAACUAGUAAACAGCCAGUGUUAUUUUUCCAAUGAACAUCAGAGGACCUUUACCAAAAAUAGAAGGUCUUUGAUGCUGAGAUAUAAAUAAAAGCCAACACUCCAGCUUAAUUAGAUUUCGCAAUUCAGAAUAUGAACAAAUCAAGUCUUUGUAACUAUUUUCGAUGCUUAUUAAAAUACAUUAUUCAUAUUAACAUCAUAAAUCAUACUUGGAAUGUAUUCUUGAUUUGCUUUAUUAGUCCUGUGGUUGCAUAAAUGUAACUAUUGAUUGCUUUUAUAUUAUCUGAAAAUUGCUUAAACUUGUAGCUUCUAAGCUAAUGUUUCUCAAAAUGUGUUCUAAGAAACACAUUUUGGACUCCACGUUUCAUGAAAAUGUGGAGUCCAAGCUCAGGUGAGUUGGAAAGACACUGACUGAAACAGGUUUCUUUACUAAGGGGCUACAUUGUGAAUUUCAAUUUUUAAAUUUGAUGGGCAGCACUUCCUAAAGUUACUUGAUCACAGAACCUUUAGUCAAGGAUCAUUUUAACUUUGGGAAAUGAUGUUACACACAAGUAAUAUAUCAAGUACCAGAUAUUUGGUCAAAUUUGUGAUGGUGUUAUCUCUUCACAAAAGAUUACUUAGUGAUAGCGAUUUGUAGAAUAUUGGUUAUACAAGUAGAAAAGUUUGCAGAUGUCUGGAUAGAAGAUAUCCAAAACCUAGGUGGAAAAAUAAACAUUUAUAAUAUACUAACACAGAGGGCAUGGAGGUGUCAUGAUAGUGAAAACUAGAAGGAAAUGGUAAAUACAGAAGGAAUAAAAGUUGAGAAAAGGAUGGAGAGAGAGUUAAAAAAAAGACCAUAAUUGAUGCUUUUCUUUCCUGUUAAUGCAGCCAGAAUCCAGAUUUGGGACCAAAAAAAAGGAGAAAGCUCUAUGGAGAGCCCUGAGCCUGUGUCUUAGUGAAAAUGACAAGAGUGGAGGCCCCAGCUCUAGUCUUCACUCUUUUUCUUCCUACAUUUGUAUGAAAGUGAUCAAGAGUAAGCAAAAUGUGCAUUUCAUACAAUAUGGUUGCUUUUUUUUUUUUUUCCUAAGAAAAGAGCAAAUAGCCUCAGGAAAUCAGAUUCUUGUGACCUUUGUUACUCUUUAUUACUAAAGUAGUGUUCAUUCUCAGACUCUAAAGGACAUCUGAUUAGUAACACAUGGGUGACAUCAUUGAAAAAGCAUAAUCUGUGUGUCAUGAAAUGUUACUUGAAAAUAGUAGUGGGAAAAAGUUUUGUCAUUUGGGGAAGGAUGUCAAGAAAACAUCUCAGUCAGUUAUUUGUUGGAUUUAUUGGUGAAAAAAGCACACAUUUUUACUGAUUUGACUUUGGCUCAAUAUUGAACAAUUCGGGGCUACAAAACUGCACAUUGAGAUAUCGCUUAGCAUUUGAAAAUUAUGGUUUAUAUUUGACUAUGCUGCUAAAUGGCCUAUAAAGAAUUAUAUACAUUUGAUAUUUAAUAGGUUCAACAAAUAUACCCCCUGUUCCUGAGGAUGAUCCAUUUUAAGCAGAGCUGAGGGUGGCACAUUGCUCUUGAUGCAGAACCCAGGGGAGCACCUCUGAGCUGGCAGAGAAUCUCAGAAGCCUUCCGUUUUCUAUGACUUCAUCCUAAGAUUUAAUCUAGUUAAUCAAGGCAUCUUUUGGACUUGUAUAUCACUUCAAGGAGACAAUAGCCUUACAGAGCUUUCCACCAUACAGACUUAAUACAUGCUGCAGAGAAACUGCAGAACAAUUUAUUAUAUGUGAUAUCUUUAUUUUUAACAUUUUUUUUUGUCUUUUUAGGGCUGCACCCAUGGCAUAUGGAAAUUCCCAGGCAAGGGUUGAAUCAGAGGUGUAGCUGCCAGCCUAUUCUACAGCCACAGCCACAUGGGAUCCAAGUCACAUCUAUGACCUACGCUCACAGCAAUGCCGGAUCCUCAACCCACUGAGCGAGGCCAGGGAUCAAACCCACAUCCUCAUGGAUACUAGUCUGGUUCAUUACUGCUGAGCCAUGACAGGACCCAUGAUAUCUUUGAAAUAUCAAGAAGGUUGGGGAUUUGUAUUUAAGAAACUGAGGAUUGGUUCUUACAAUGAAUCCAUCAUCACUACUUGGAGGAAUCCCAUGUUACAAAGAAUGGAUCCUGCAGGUUUUUUCUUUGUGCUGAAAUCUGCCACGGGCAGGGGAGAAACAAGCUCUGGUCAACAUUCCAAUGAUGAUGGGCCUGGGAAACGGUCCCUCUGAAACUGGAUAAGAACCCAGUGAUUAACAGUACUUGAUGUUUUAAACAGUUAUGGUAAUUUAAAUGGCUGAUGUCAACAUUGCUACUAUCAGCAGCAACCUAAUGCUUCAAGUUUCGUUAAAAAUCAUGUAUUUGAAUUCACAUUUUCAUGUUGACUUGCUCAGCAAGUAGAGCACAGAAGUUACAGAUCCAGAUGGUGGAUGCCAUCAUGGCCUUGGAUGCACUGCCUGGAACCCCUUCAUAAAUGAAGAACUUAUUCUCUCGGCCACCAGGAUGCUGCUGGAAGAGGGCUCUUCCUUGUGGUUGUCUUAGCUCGAGACCACUGCCCUCCUUGGCGUAUAUAUCUCCUUCUAAUGACUGAUCGGCAUGGGAUGGAGGGACCUGGCUUUCUUGUCCUAACUCAGAACUAGGGAGUUGGAAGGGAUGCAAUUGGAAAGUUGGUGACAAUGACAUCUGGGGAAAAUAUGUGGAUAAAUCUCUACAAAUGGUCCCAGAGUAUAUGAGAGCUGUGUCUCUUGUGACCUCAGCAGAACUGGAUGAUAGGAUUUGUUUUGUUGAUAUGGGUCUCCCUUCCCCAGGUACCUCAUCUUGCCCAAGUGGCCAUGGUGGCAGGGAUCAAGGGCGCACAUGGGCUCAGCAAAAUAGAUGUCUGCUCACCGAGGCUAGAUGGCUGCAGCUCCUGCUGAAUGCUCCAUCUGCCAGCGCAGAGACCAGCGCAGAGCCUGCAAUGGGACACACUUCCCCAGGGGAUCGGCCAACCACGUGGUGGCAGGAUAAUUAAGCUGCAGCACUUCCAUCGAGGAAGGGGCUGCAUUUCAUUCUUGCUGGAAUAGAUUAUCACACUGGGUGUGGACUUGCUUCUCUUGCCUCCAAUGCUUCUGGAAAACCCACCAUUUGUGAACUCAUAGUCUGCCUUACCCACUGUCAUAGCAUCUGACACAUUAGCACUUCCCAGCAAGGAACAAAUUAUACUUAUAUGGAGCCAGGGGGUCCAUGCCCAUGGACUUCUCUGGUCUUAACUGUGUUCACCACCAUCAUGAAGCAGCUUGCUUGUAAAAUGUUGGAGUAGCCUUUGAUACAGUGAGUUAUGGUAUCAAUUAGGUGACAAUGCCACAUGGGGUGGGACAGUGUUCUCCCGGAGGCAAAAUAUGAUCUCACUUGGCAUCCAAUACACAGUGCUAUUCCUCCCAUAGUCACCCAUCUGGGAAUGAAGGGGUGAAAACAGGAGUGUCUUUGCUCAUUACAACCCCACAAUAUCCACUACUGAAAGUUAUACUUCCUGUCACUGCUACUUAAGGCUCUGCUGGUCUAGAGGCCUUAACUUCCAAAGGGAAGAAUGAUUUCUCAGGGGAACCCCAAAAUAGUUCUACUGAACUGGAAGUGAAUAUUGUCACUUGGUUUAGAAGGAUUUUUAAAAUUCCAAAUUUAUCUUCUUUUCUAGAAUUGUCUUCCAUCUCUUUGACUUCUAACCAAUGUUUAUUUUCUGUAGCUAUACUUAUAUUUACUUACAGAGAAAGAGAACAUAAGAGUAGCACACUCCUUCUUUGUCAGCUAUCAAGAGGAGAGGGACAUUAUUUUGUAACUCAAAGCAGUAGCAACAAAGCAGGAAAAGCUCAGGCUUUGAGCCAGAUGGGCAGCUGUGUUCAAAUCCCAGCUCCUUGAUCUACUAAAUUACUUAAUUUUUCUGAGACUUAGUUUUCUCAUCUGUCAAACAGGGAUAAUGAUACCUGUUAUAUAUCCAUGUGGUGAGUGUGAAAUAAUUAAAGCAGAAGCAAAGCACAUCUUGGACUCAGCCUAGUGCCUACUUGGUCAUCAGGAGGGACAGUGUUGGUUUACGCUUCCUGUCUUGCAAUCAUUAUCAUAAUGAUAUUAAUUAGGAUUUAUAACUCUGUUAAUGAUUAUAAUAAUUACUAAUAGCACACCAUUUCAAUCUCAGAAGUUAAGAUGAUGAAUUAGAUGUUCACUCUAAUCAUUGUCAAAUGUUGGUUUGCAUUUGCCACUCUUUUAUUGCUUAUUGUUGAGAAGAUUGCCAUAAAGUAGGUAGAAUUCAGAAGUAGUGUUUACCUAUGACUUGUAAACUCAGGUUUUGUUUUAUUUUAUUAUCAUUAUUAUUUUUUUGCUGCACCUGCGACAGAUCGAAGUUCCUGGGCCAGAGAUUGAAUCUGAGUUGCAGCUGCAACCUAUGCCACAGCUGUGGCAAUGCCAGUUCAUUAACUCAAUGGACCACAGUGGGAACUCCCUAAACUUAGAUUUUAAAUGAUUGCUGGAACUCCAAGUUUUAUUCUGAAUAAAAGAGAGCGUAGGUGUUGAAAUUUGACCAAUGAUGAAAACUGAUUACCUUAUUCCAAGGGUUGGCUUUAUUCAAGGGGAUGAUAAAACUGAUACCUUCCAUUUCAAUAGAGUCCUUGAAGAAAUCUUAUGAUAAGUCACAUUUAAACUUUAUGAUGUGAAAGGCUAAAAAAAUGUUCAGGAGAAUCAUUGCUGCCUCCCAUUUUUAAUCACUUUUUAAACUGGGAUUUCUUGUGCAUUUUUGCACACAAGGAAUUCUAGUGGGUAGGGUCCUCAGUGGCUUUCUUGGCAUGUUCACCAGAGGUGAGAAGUAGGCUCAUGCCCCUCCAUAGCCUCUGAGGAUGCGUUUCUUAUCCUUUCUUUGCUGGACAAUUUAGAGAAGAAUGAUCUGUCAGAGUAUUUAUAGAAGCCAUUAGCACGAUGAGUGAAGGCUUCGGAUAACUGAUGGCUCUUUAAAAAUAUGGCCUUAAGAAGAGGAAAGAGAAACUUGUAGGGUGUCUUCCAAAUAGCAGAUUGCUAUAUUUGGGUGGUCUGAGGAUUAUGACAAAUGUCAAGGACCACACACCGCACAAAAACAGCUCAUUAUAGCUGCACACGCAGAAUGCCAUGUUCAAGGUUGAGUGGCUGAUUUUGCUGCAAACACUAAUUUCCAGAUUAUACAAUUUGAAAUUUUUAAUUAGCCAUGAAUCCUUGUAGGGAUAACUUUGCUAUGCCUCUUUAUGUGUUGUAAAAAUAAGUCAGACUCUGCUUCAGCCACCCAAGACCUCCAAUAAAGGUUUCUGUGUGAUAGUGAUAGUUUCCUCUUCAAAUGCUAAUUUUGAAAAUUCAUAUUUCAGAAGAAUUAGUGGCUCAAUUCUGUGGUCAUUCUGCAUUUCUAAAUGUCAUUAAAAUUAAUGAAUUCUGAAAAUGAAAAGAAUAAAGCUGGUCUUUUCAGUUUGACUGAAAUGUUCCUAUUGAAUAACAUCAGAUCCAGUAAAUCACUUAAAUCUGUUGGUGAUACACACCUUUUAAAUGACUGUUGGAUUCAUGCACAAUACUUUUAUUGUUGAGGAUGUGGUGUGAACAGUAUGGAGGACAAAAUAAUAAAGAUUCAUUGAGUGUCCUGAGCUAUUUAGACUCAAUAUGCAUCAUAUUGAGAGAAUGCAAAAAUUCAAUGAAAUGCCAAAACCACCAUCGUUGGUAAUGGAGGCAUUCCAGAAAAGAUUGCAUUCUUAGGGAUGUCGCCAAAAGAUAUUUUAGUGUGUGUUUGUACACAAAAAUAUGAAUAAAUAUAUAUGGAAAAAUAGAAAGCAUAUACUAUAUAUGGAUAUAUAUUUAUAUUUGUAUAUAUAUAUUUAUAUUUGUGUGUAUAUAUAUAUAUUUAGAAUGUUACAACGGACCAGAUAAUAUAAUUCUAUGUAUUAAAUGCAGGGUUACAGAUGGACUACCAACAUUCUUGCCUCCCUUAUUUAACUUUUGCAUUUCUUUCCUCUACUGAGCAGGUUAUGUCAAAUCAUUUCCUACUGACUCUAUGAGUGUAUGUUUUCCCUCUAUUCCAGAUCCCUCCAAAUUCAUGUUGUAGAGAGUCUAUGUAGGAUAGUGGAUUUUCUUCUGAAGUUCUAGAACUCAGAUGUUUCUAUAAUUUUCUUGUGGGCUUAAAGCUUCAGGAAGCCAAAAAGUUUUGAUUCUUUAAUGUUUUUUCCUGUAGGCUGUUCUAAACCCGUGCCAUCUAAACCAAGGGGUGCACUGGAGUUGCCAUUGUGGCUCAGUGACAACGAACCAGACUAGUAUCCAUGAGGAUGUGGGUUCAAUUCCCGGCCUCACUCAGUGGGUUAAGGAUUCGGUGUUGCUGUGAGCUGUGGUGUAGUUCACAGACUUGGCUUGGAUCCCGAGUUGCUAUGGCUGUGGUACAGGCUGGCAGCUGUAGCUCCGAUUCAAGCCCUAGCCUGGGAACUUCCAUGUACUGCAGGUGUGGCUCUAAAAAGCAAAUAAAUAAAUAAAUAAAUAAAUAAAAUAAGAGGUGCACUUGUGCAACCUUGUGAUUUAUCUGUAAGCAUCCCGUCUUGUAUGUGGGGACACCAAGGUAUAGAGAGGUCAAGUGCCUCCUCUGAGUUCAGACUCGGUCAUAGGAGCCAGAGCUGGAGGGCUGUCUCUGUGCAUAGUGUGACCAGGCGGGUCCCCUACGGUGUUUUGGGUGUUGGGCCCUCUCCAGUACCAUUUUAUAGCUGUCUCAUCUGUAAACAUUGUUCCUGAGAUGUACACUUUAUUGUACCCAGGUUUCAAUCCAUUUCCUUUGGUCUCAGAACCAAGGGCUUGGUUUUCUUCAGAACAAUCAUUUCUUCAGAUUUUCCUUUCGACCCAGUUUCUCUAGCUCUCCUCUACAUUUAGAGGGUUAUUUUGUACAAGAAUAUUUUCUUCUUCUCUGUGGGGACACUAUGGGUGAGAUAAAAGUCGAGGUCUAGCAGUUCCAUAACAAUCAAAUUUUCAUCCUUGAUUUUCCAAUUUUGUUUUGUAGGAUGUGAAAGUGAUCAGCUAAACACUGUGCGCCUAAGUAUUUUAAUCUAUAAAGUGAUGCCAUUUGGGCCUGCUUUCUUCACAAGGUUCAUGUAAAGAAUAACAUAUAAAAUAAAUUUGAGGAGUUCCCAUCGUAGCGUAGUGGAAACACUCCAACUAGGAACCAUAAGGUUUCAAGUUCGAUCUCUAGCCUCACUGAGUGGGAUUUUUGCUGAGGCAAAUCCCAUAUCGAUGGUGGUAAAAAUCAUUUGGGAGGCAUAUGUCAGGGGCUGGAGUUCUGGUCUUGGUUCUGUCUCCAAAUAGGUAGUCAUGAGAAAGCAGAAUGAAGAGCCAGAAAUAGGUCCCAGCCCACUCCCAUCCAGAGCUUUUGUGUAUCAGGUGUUACUGGUAGAAUAUAGGUAACACAAGAGUGUGGACUUAUACCUGUUCUGUUCAUUUCUAUGUCCCUAGAACUUGCCUCAUAGUAAGCCUUCAAUUCAUGUUUUCCAAUGAAUGAUUGCAUCAUUAUUAUUUAAAUUUUAAAAUUUAACAAAAUUUCCUGCACUAAUACCUGUAGGUUUUUAUUCUAGAAAAUGUUCAAUGUUUGAUGUUGUACAACAAAUAAUGUAAAAAAAGGGAGGGGAUGAUGAUGGUGGGAGAGGCAGCCAGAAAGACAUUUAUGUAACCAAUGGGGAAAGUAUAAAAAAAAGUAUUUUAAAACAUCUCUUAGAACUUGUGCUACUAUUACAAGUUUGGCUAAAUGGCUGUAGUUGCCAGGGGUUGGGAGGAGGCAGAGAUGAAUAGACAGAUCACAGAGUUUUAGGGCAAGAAAACUAGCCUUAAUGAUAACACAGUGGUGGAUACACACCGUAAUACAUCUCAAAACCCAGAACAUAUGCAACACCAAGAGUGAACCCUGAAGGAAACUGUGGACUUUGGGUGACAAUGACAUGUCAUGCAGAUUCAUCGCUGGUAACAAAUGUAUCACUCAGAUGCUGGAUGUAGAUAGUGGGGAAGGUUGUCUGUGUGGUGACAGGGGUAUUUGAGAAAUCUUCGUUUCUUCUGCCCAAGUUUGUUGUGAACCUAAAACUGCUCUAAAAAAUAAAGUUUAUUAAAAAAGGGAGUUAGCCUAAUGGUAACUUCUAGUGUAUCUUCCAUUGAGCAUUAGAAAAUAAAACCACUUCCCCUGGAAAAUUAAUAAACGAUGUCUCUUUUGCUUUCCAUCUUUGGCACCAUGGCUUAAGCAUUUCAGCUACAAUGGAAAAAAUUGUUACUUUUAUUUUCCCAGAAAUUAUGAGUUUCAUUUUAUAAUAAAUGCAUAAAAAGUAUAUGAAACUAUACUGCUUUUUUUACUGCAUAAAUCCAGCAAUGAAUUAAAUAUAUUAGUUCACUUCAUAAACAGUAAUUUAGAACCCAGAUUACCCAGGGUAACAUGCCAGGUAUUCUAACAAAUGUACAGAUUUUUUUUUUAAAUGAUAACCUGCUUCAUUUCUGAGGGAUCUUGCCUUUUUCAGAUAUUUAUAUAUUUUUCAUUUGUUCCUCACAGCCCUGGGUAGUCAACAGGGAAAGAUUUUUUUAAAUUUUAUUAGAUUAUAGCUGAUUUACAAAGUUGUGUUAAUUUCAGAUGUACAGCAAGGUAAAUUAGUUGUACAUAGACAUAUAUCUGUUCCUUUCAGAUUCUUUUCCCAUAUAGGUUACCACACAAUACUGAGUAUAUUUUUCUGAGCUAUACAGUAAGGCCCCUUAGCCAUCUAGUCUAUAUAUAGUAGUGGGUAUAUAUCAAUCCCAACCCUGUAAUUUAUCCCCCCCAUGUUGCCCCUUUGGUAAACAUAAAUUUGAUUUUGAAAUGUUGAGUCUGUUUCUCUUUUUUUAAAUUCUAUUGCGUCAUUUCAAUUACAUUCCACAUAUUAGUGAUCUUAUAUGAUAAUUGGCUUUCUCUGCCUGACUUACUUCACAUAGUAUGAUAAUUUCUAAGUCCAUUCAUGUUGUCGCAAAUGGCAUUAUUUUAUCUUUUUAUGGCUGAGUACUAUUCCACUGUAUAUAUGUACUACAUCUUCUUUAUCCAUUCCUCUAUCGAAGGACCUUUUGGUUGCAUCCAUGACUUGUCUAUUGUAAAUAGUGCUGUGAUGAACACUGGGGUGCAUGCAUCUUUUCUAAUUAUGGUUUUCUCUGGAUAAUCCCAGGGGUGGGAUUGCUGGAUCAUAUGGUAGUUCUAUAUGUUUUCUGAGGAAACUCCAUAGUGUUCUUCAGCUUACAUUCUCACUAAAAGUGUAGGAGGGUUCCUUUUUCUCCACACCCUCUCCAGCAUUUUCAACAGGGAAGAUCUUAAACUUCCACUCAAGAAGUUUCCAUUAAUUGGAAAAAUUAUAUAUUUUUUCACAAUAAUGUAAUUAAAGCAAAAGAGAAAUUUUAAAUGAAAACAAUUUCCUUGUACCCAAUUAUCUUAAUAAAAUAGUUUUAAUUAAUUUUUUUUUUUUUUACUUUUCGGACUGUUCAUAUAUGAAGAGUAAUCACUACUGGGUCAGAGUUGGUAUUCAGAGAAAUAAUUUAUUCACCAAAGUUAAAAAAAAAAAAAGACCAAAAAUACGUACUAGAGGUAAAAUGUGUUACUAGUAAAUUUGGGAAGAGGUACCAGAGUCAGUAGAACCUUAUCAAUUAAUCAAACACGGGAACAGAUCUUGUAAGAACACAGUCGUUAAAAUAACCAGCUAAAGUCUUUGGAAAGAAUGAAUAUUGGAUGCCUGAGGUUGAUGGCCACGGAGAGAGGAUUUCCCUUGUUAAUGCUUCCUUUACAAACCUCUACCUUACAAAAGGAGCAAAUAGGAGAAAAAGGAGGACUCUAAGUGGUGCCCUGGAGAAAGCCCAGGAGGAGCUUGGGAGGGGUUGGCAUAGUGGGAGAUGAGCUCAGGCGCAUGCGCUUGGAGGUGAGGGUGCGCAAAAGCCUCUGAGGACAGCAGUGUCUUCCACUGCUUUCCGUGGGAGUCACCGGGAUUCUCAGGCGUGGGGUUGCACGUCCACCCUCUGUCCUCUUCUGUUGGCCUGGCUGUCAGAGAGACAUCUUGGAACGGUUAACACUGUUAAGUGGUAUUGGAGAAAAUGUGGUCUCUAACUAGUCUCCCCACAGCCACUCCAGUUCCUCUCACCUAAUCUUGUUUCCCACACUGCAAUACCCGGUAUUUUAAAAAAUCCUGAUUUCACUGCCGCAUUGCUCUGAGGUUAAAGAAAAGACUCCUUAUCGUGGCUCCAAGGCCGUGCAUCAUCUGGCCCUCGCUUCCUCUUUUCCUGUGUUCUUGCCUGCUCUCCCUUGCUGUCUGCACCCCAGGCUGCCUGCCUUCCUGCCAUUUCUCACCGGGUUCCAGCCUCCCUCCCUCAGUCUGGAAUACACACUCCCUUCCUCACGUCCACACUGCCUGGGAUCCUUCUAGCAUGGCCCAUCUCGCCCCCCAAGUGUUAUUUCCUUGGAAAAACUUUCUUGAGCCAGCAAUCUAGUUCAGGUUCCUUUGCUGCACGUUGAUCUGAGCGGACACUUUUCUUCUUGCAUGGCAUUUAUUUCCUUUAUAUUCUCAAUAGACUCUAAACUAAGUCUCCAAAAGCCAAAGCUCUUGUUAUUUCCCAUUAUAUUUCCAGACAUCAUCACCUCGCCUGAAACUCAGUCACUGUUUAUUAAACGAAUAAAUGAACUGCAUUUCCAGUUCAAAGGGGAUCAUGCUUUUCUUAUGUUUAAGUCCUUUAGAUAAUCUUCCAUUGUGGUGAGGAGAGCAUUCAGAUUCCUAACAUGGCUUGUACUCACCUCACGCUAUGCUUCCUGGUCAGUCCCCAACCUUACCUUAACUCAAUCUCCUUGUACCAUGUUUACUGAACACUGGAAUGUACCACACAGGGCCGGUGAGAGGGUUUAACUGUGAACAGGACAGACACUGUGCGGACGCUUAUGGAGCUUAUGGUCUAGGGCAGACAUUAAAUGAUGAUUUUUGAUGAACCAAAUGUCAAUAAAUUAUAAAAAUACAUCCUCUUCCAUUCUUUAUGUGCCGGCUGAGAUCCCUGGGGGAAUUCCUAAAGAUGUGGGGACCUAUAUUUUGGAAACUUGGCUAUUUUCAUCUUGUUUAUUUUUUAAUUAUUUUCAUUUUGGUCUCCAUGAGCAUUUAAUGAAGCUCUCUUUGAAAAUGCCAGCUGUUCUGAAAUGCACGGUGAGGAACCAAGGAAGGCUGUGCUUUGUGUUGUUAAAAGGUAAUCUGAGAUACCUUAGAUUUUGGAAGGGUUUAUUUGAGCAAACAUUGAUUCCCAUCAGGCUUUUAUAGUGAAGGCGCACAAGCAAGGCAAGGCAGUGACUUGAUUGGCUGUAGCUUGGUUGCCCUCUCUAAGAAAGCCUUGUUGGCUCUUUGUGGUGGAUUGUUCUUAGGUUACGGUUUCUCAGCCUUGAGGAAUUUAUAGGAAUUGACUCUGGCUUAGAUUUCAAUUUUCUUCCAUAGGCUGCCAGGGCGUUACAGCUACACUGUCUAAUGGCCUCCUUGUUUAAUUACUUUAACAGUGUUUUCUUGUUUUGAUGUGUGUUAUCAGAUCUGGUCAUAGUAUCAGAAGUUGCUAUCUUCUUCCUGGAAGGUCAAGCAUAGGGGUGGCAGCAAAAAUUAAGGCAGCAUAUUAGGACACAGUGAAAGAGUAAAGAAGAGUUGACUCCACCUGUCCCACCAAAAUGUGUUCAAUCUGAGUCUCUCAAGGUCAUAGAACCAUGGAAAUGCUAACGGUAGAAGAGCAAUCCAGUAAUUUUGGUCAAAUUUCCAAUGACUAGGUGGCUUACAUUCUACCUACAUAUAGGGCCCCACCCAUGGCAUAUGAAAAAGAAUCUGAAAAGGAAUCUAUCAUCUAUCUAUCUAUCCAUCUAUCUAGAUAUAACGGAAUCAUUUUGUACACCUGAAACUAAUUCAACAUUGUAAAUUAACUACACUUCAAUAAUAAACUAAAUAAAGUGUUUGUAAUCUGGCACAUAUGAGUAUUUAAUAAACGUGUAGUAAGUAGUCAUUGAUUGAAUAAAUAAUGAAUAAUAUGUUUUUGAACUAUGUGACCUUGGAUAAAUUUUAUUCAUGGAUCAUUGGAUGCUUACUAUGUGAAAGAUACCUGGCUAGGUGUGCUAGGUGAAGCAAAGAUGAGAAAUCUUUUUAGUUGCCUAGCUCCCUCCGUUCUCUCCAGGAUUUCUCCUGCUCU